CCUACGGGAGGCAGCAGUGGGGAAUAUUGCACAAUGGGGGAAACCCUGAUGCAGCGACGCCGCGUGAAGGAAGAAGGAUUUCGGUAUGUAAACUUCUAUCAGCAGGGAAGAAAAUGACGAUACCUGACUAAGAAGCACCGGCUAACUACGUGCCAGAAGCCGCGGUAAUACGUAGGGGGCAAGCGUUAUCCGGAUUUACGGGGUGUAAAGGGAGCGUAGACGGCUGAGCAAGUCAGAAGUGAAAGCACGGGGCUCAAUCCCGGGACUGCUUUUGAAAAUGUUGAACUAGGUUGCAUGAGAGGUAAGUGGAAUUCCGAGUGGAGCGGUGAAAUGCGUAGAUAUUAGGAGGAACACCAGUGGCGAAGGCGGCUGACUGGACUGUAAAUGACGCUGAGGCUCGAAAGCGUGGGGAGCAAACAGGAUUAGAUACCCUGGUAGUC
rnacentral:rRNA from 1 species